GAUGAACGCUGGCGGCGUGCCUAAUACAUGCAAGUCGAGCGAACAGAUGAGGAGCUUGCUCCUCUGACGUUAGCGGCGGACGGGUGAGUAACACGUGGAUAACCUACCUAUAAGCCUGGGAUAACUUCGGGAACCCGGAGCUAAUACCGGAUAAUAUAUUGAACCGAAUGGUUAAAUAGUGAAAGACGGUUUUGCUGUCCCUUAUAGAUGGAUCCGCGCCGCAUUAGCUAGUUGGUAAGGUAACGGCUUACCAAGGCAACGAUGCGUAGCCGACCUGAGAGGGUGAUCGGCCACACUGGAACUGAGACACGGUCCAGACUCCUACGGGAGGCAGCAGUAGGGAAUCUUCCGCAAUGGGCGAAAGCUUGACGGAGCAACGCCGCGUGAGUGAUGAAGGUCUUCGGAUCGUAAAACUCUGUUAUUAGGGAAGAACAAAUGUGUAAGUAACUAUGCACGUCUUGACGGUACCUAAUCAGAAAGCCACGGCUAACUACGUG
rnacentral:rRNA from 1 species